GAUGAACGCUGGCGGCGUGCUUAACACAUGCAAGUCGAACGGAAAGGCCCAAGCUUGCUUGGGUACUCGAGUGGCGAACGGGUGAGUAACACGUGGGUGAUCUGCCCUGCACUUCGGGAUAAGCCUGGGAAACUGGGUCUCAUACCGGAUAGGACGAUGGUUUGGAUGCCAUUGUGGAAAGUUUUUUCGUUGUGGGAUGAGCUCGCGGCCUAUCAGCUUGUUGGUGGGGUAAUGGCCUACCAAGGCGUCGACGGGUAGCCGGCCUGAGAGGGUGUACGGCCACAUUGGGACUGAGAUACGGCCCAGAGUCCGAAGGGAGGCAGCAGGGGGGAAUAUUGGACAAUGGGCGCAGGCCUGAGGCAGCGACGCCGCGUGGGGGAUGACGGCCUUCGGGUUGUAAACUCCUUUCGCUAGGGACGAAGCGUUUUUGUGACGGUACCUGGAGAAGAAGCACCGGCUAACUACGUG
rnacentral:rRNA from 1 species